AGUGAACGCUGGCGGUAGGCCUAACACAUGCAAGUCGAACGGCAGCACAGUAAGAGCUUGCUCUUACGGGUGGCGAGUGGCGGACGGGUGAGGAAUAUAUCGGAAUCUACUUUUUGGUGGGGGUUAACGUAGGGAAACUUACGCUAAUACCGCAUACGCCCUACGGGUGAAAGCAUGGGAUCUUCGGACCUUGCGCGAUUGAAUGAGCCGCUGUCGGACUAGUUAGUUGGGGGGGUAAAGACCCACCAAGUCGACGAUUCGCAGCCGGACUGAGAGAAUGGUCGGCGGCAUGGGAACUGAGACAGCGACCAUACUCCUACGGUAGGGAGCAGUCGGGUAUAGGAGACAACGGGGGCAAACAUGACCCAGCCAGCCCACGUGGGUGAAGAAGGCGUUGGGGUUGUGAAGCCCGUCUGUUGGGAAAGAACAGCAGCAGCUUGUUACCACGCGGUUCUGACGGUACCCAAUGAAUAAGCACCGGCUAACUUCGUG
rnacentral:rRNA from 1 species